CAGUAGCCGCGGUAAUACGAAGGGUGCAAGCGUUAAUCGGAAUUACUGGGCGUAAAGCGUGCGUAAGCGGUGAGUUAAGUCUGCUGUGAAAUCCCCGGGCUCAACCUGGGAAUGGCAGUGGAUACUGGCUCGCUAGAGUGUGUCAGAGGGUGGUGGAAUUCCCGGUGUAGCGGUGAAAUGCGUAGAGAUCGGGAGGAACAUCAGUGGCGAAGGCGGCCAUCUGGGACAACACUGACGCUGAGGCACGAAAGCGUGGGGAGCAAACAGGAUUAGAUACCCCCGUAGUCCCUGUCUCUUAUAC
rnacentral:rRNA from 1 species